CUGGAAAAUAUAAAGUAUCGAAUUGUCAAAAUUUAUCUUCCUGUUUUUGGUCCUAUUGCUCAGAGUGUGGUAUACCACUACACCAAAGAAAGUAAUAUCACACGGCAAACUUUAUAUUUUUCAACCGUCGCAUAGAAGAAUCAUCUAAAGGAAGUAGACACAUAUGCCAUGGACUGACCUAAAAUGAGUGGCUUCAUCAUGUGCAAUUGCCUUGACCAAGAGGAUAUAUUAGGAAAUGUACGCAGGCUGGUAUAUCUGUAAGCAAUGAGAUACAUAAGUUGGCACCCAGCAUGAGUUUUUUGACGUUACUUCUAUAUUACAGUAGCAAAGGGAGGGUCACAUAUCAACUCUUUUUUUUAAAGCUCAAGAGUUGCAAAUGCAUAUGCAUUUCACAUCACUUUUUUUUGUAACAAAUAUGGCCAAUGGCCAAUGUCUAUAUACUAACAAGGAUCAAAAUUCUAGAGGUUAUUUAGUUUAUCUAAAUAUCACAUCAUGUUUGGUUGAAACAAUAUGCUAAAAUAUUCAGUUUGCAAAGCACAAUGCUAACAUAUGGGGGAGAAGGUGGCAGCUCACCUGCAGCAAGGAGCUAGCAUAAUAAAAAGUAGGAGUUCAUCCUUUAGCGUACUAUGAACAUGUCGCUGCUGCCUUGCACCUUGAUGCACCGCCGUUGCCCAUAGCAGAUUAACAUCCAAUUGCUUUUGACAAAUUGUACAUAACAAAUUACUUGAAUUAAUACUUUGUAACUGAUCGGCAAGAAGUAGCAGCCAAAUUCUAAUAAUGGAGAGCUGGGUCCAGGAUGUAUUACUCCUAUUUCAUACUAAUUGUACCUACUGGGGAGAGCAGAAAUGUGUAGCACACAGGGACAAAGCAAAGGAACUGAUCCGAGAUAGGACCACCAGGAACUUACCCCAAAAUCAUGCAUAAUCGAGGCUAUGCUCCAACUACAAAGCCAGAAAUUGCUCCAUUGUAUCAACACCUGCAAUCCUCCUCUAUAAAUGUUGCAGGCCUGCAGCUGCCCAGCAGGAAACCGUUAGCACUACACAUACCAUGGUGUAACAGUAGACCUCACAAUUUACGUCAAUACAACAGAUCAAAGCAUAAAGUUAGAAAUCAAAGAAGGAAGACUCAUGGAAGAUACUACCAUGGGGACCAAACGGGAGCACCAUUCUCCAAAAAAUCACAUGGAUGCAAUGGUGAAGAGAUAGGAGACGAGGCGAGUGAGGCCGGUGAUGGCGAAUAUAUCUGGCCAAACGGGCCGAUUUUAUCGGGCCGGCCCGGCAGCACGGCGGCACGGCACGCCCGGCAGCACGGCCCGGCACGGGCUAAUCAUGCCGUGCCAGGCACGAGGCACGCACUGGGCCGUGCCUGGGCCGCGACCCUCAGCCCGCGUGCCAGCACGGCACGGCACGAAUUCUAGCGGGCCGGCCCGUGGCACGGCACGGCACGCAGCCCGGCGGCACGGCACGAUUGGCCCGCCUCGAUCGUUGGGGGAGCGGGGCCUGUGAUCCUGUCGGGCCAACGCGCGCCUGGCGGCCUGGGACGGGGACAGCUGGGGGGCCGGCCGGCAUCAGACGCGCAGUCCUCGUCUCCUCGAUCGAUGGGGGAGCGGGGGGGUUUGCUCGGCCGUUGGGAGGGGUUUAGAGGGAGGUUAGGGUUGGUUUAGAGUGGUUUAGGAUAUGGUUUGGAUAUUUGUGUAAGAAAAUUCAUAUAUUUGAAAAUUUGAUCGUUAGAGGGUCAAAUUUGUCCGAAAAAUGACCAAUUUUUUGCUAUAAAUAGGGCUGCCCAGCCCACAUAUUUCUCACACUCAAACAUGGAUGACCAUGACAAUACUAGCUUCCCACUCUCCGAUUUCGGUCUUGGGGAUAUGGAGUAUAGUCUCUACCCUAGUAGCACCGAUCACACUACCAUGCCCCCACCUGAGCAACAUGCCUAUACCAUGCCCCCACCCGAGCAACCUGCCUAUACCGAUCAUCACACUCUUGAACCCCAUACCGAUCCGAGUGCCGAAGCCGAUGGUCACACCAAUUCGAGUAGUGGGACGGGUUCCUCCACCACCGUUGGUGUAAAGCAAAGAGGUCGUUGUAGAACCUCCGCGGUGUGGGAAUCAUUCGAUGAAGAAAUCUCCGUGGUGGACGGUGUCCGGAGGGUGGUUGCAAGGUGCAAAAGGUGCAAGAAGGAGUAUACCGGAGAAGCCAAGGGAGGAACCGGCCACCUGAAGAGGCAUGUGGAAAGCCACGCCAAGGCGGAUGGAAAGAGCGCAUCGGGCUCGGCAGCUGUGCAAACGCAGCUCUCCUUCAACCCUGACGGUACGGUACGCACUUUCACCUACGAUGCUAAUGUUCAGCGAGAAGGUCUAUGCCGUCUUAUUGCUUCUAAUGAUUUACCACUAGGUUUUGGUGAAUCUGAUGGUUUCGUAGAAUAUAUUCAAACUUGUCAUAAUCCUAAUUAUAGACCAGUUUCUAGACAAACUACAAGUAGGGAUAUUAAAAAGCUAUACAAAACUGAUAAAGAGAAAAUAAAAGAAGAAUUUUCUACGUGCACUUUUUCAGUGUCGUUAACAUCUGAUAUCUGGACUGGUCGGGCAAAGCAAGACUACAUUAGUGUGGUAACUCAUUAUGUUAACGAACAUUGGCAUCUACAAAAAAGAGUCAUAGGAUUUGAAUUAAUUGAUGUAGCACAUAGUGGUCCGAACAUUGCUGAAGCUAUACUAAAAGUUGUGAACGAUUUUAAUCUUGCCGACAAGGUUUUCUCAAUAACUUUGGAUAAUGCUUCAGCAAACACGAGUGCAAUGAAUACUCUGACUCCUAUAUUCUCCAUAUAUGCUGCAUCCUUUUUAAUGCAUCAACGUUGUGCUUGCCAUAUCAUUAAUCUUAUUGCUAAAAGUGCGUUACAUUUAUGUGAACCACAUGUUGAAGUCAUACGCAUUGCAAUAUCUUAUUUUUCGCAUUCAACUCAACGAAUUACAAACUAUAAGAGAUAUUGUCUUGCUAUAGGGUGCGUUCCUCAUAAGUAUAAUUCAGACAUGCCUGUUAGAUGGAACUCUACAUAUUUGAUGCUUAAGGCAGUUAUCCGAGACAGAGUUCAGUUGAAUGGCUUUAUUAAUGCAAAUUAUGGGGUUGAACCUCUAAUUAGCGAAGAAACUUGGCACGUUAUUACAGCAUUGACUGCAUUUCUUGAGUUGUUCUAUGAUGCAACAGUUACUUUGUCUGGGGUUUCUUACCCGACAUCUCCUUUGAUGGUGCAUACCCUAUUAGACAUUGCUAGUCAUCUAAAAGCAUAUGAAGGGGAUGCAUUGUUACUUAAUGUUGUUGCUGGCAUGAAAACCAAGUAUUUAAAAUAUUGGCAGCAAAUUCCACUGUUGUAUGCAUUUGCAUUUAUCUUAGAUCCUAGAGCUAAACUUGAAGGGUAUCGUAGUGCACUCAAUGUACUAUCUGCAUCCCUAAGUUUAGAUUAUACUGACGACUUCAAUAAGGCUCGUGAGAAGCUUUUUGAAGUUUUUGCUAAGUAUGAGGAAAAAUAUGCCGGAGUUCGAAUGCAACGACCUCCACCAGCACCUACUGCAGGUAAAAAGAGAGGAGCAUGGAGCAAGAUCUUUGGUUCUUCAUCCUCCUCAACCGCCGGAAGCUCUUCCACGUCAACAUCUGUGCUUCAAGGUGGCGGGGAGUUAGCGAAGUACCUCAACAGUGACAAAGUCAUGUACGAUUUAGAUAGUGAGGAAGACUUCAACUUACUACAGUGGUGGCAAGAACACAAGCUUACAUUUCCGGUGCUCUCCAUAUUAGCACGUGAUGUGUUAUCGGUGCCUGUUUCUACGGUGUCAUCGGAGUCAGCUUUCAGCCUUGCUGGAAGAAUAAUUGAGGAGAGAAGAACUAGUCUCACCCCAGAUAUGGUGAGAACACUGAUGUCCGUCAAAGAUGGGGAGUUAUCAAGAAGGAGAGCGCAACACACUGCAGAAAACACAGAACUACUUGCCAUGUUUGAAGAAAUGAACUUUGAAGAAGACCCGGAAGAUUAAUCGAAGACUUGUAGUGUAGUCAUUUUCUUAUCAUUUUGUAAUUUUCUUUCCCUUUUGUAAUUCUAGAGCAUGGCUUUGUACUCUUUUACUUCCCAGGGAUGGAAGGUUUUAAUGAGGCAGCCACUAAUAAAGCUCAACAUUUAUCCCAAAUGAUACAUUAUUACAUUGCCUUAACUUUUUCCCAGGGAUGCAUUAUUGCUGCCGUGCCUAACGUGCCUAACGUUACAUUUUUUUCCUAUAAAAAGGGAUGCCCACUUUCUCAUCUCUCACACUCAAACUCCAUCUCAUUUUCCACACACAAACAUGGCUGCUCCUCUUCAAAACAUUGUUCGGAGACAACCUAGUCCCAUCUGGAGGUACUAUGAUGAAGAAUCCGUUACAAAUGACGAAGGUCUGACCAAGCUUUUUGCAAAGUGCAAAGAAUGCGGUAAGAAGUUGAGUGUGCACCUAGAUGAUGGCAGGUAUGCUGGAACCGGCCACCUGAUGAGGCACAAGACGACGCACGUCAAAGCAGCCGAGGCGGCGGCUAUAGCUGCGGUUGCGGGGCAAGGUUGAAAGGAUCCCAUUAGUCCGUUGUAGUAUUUGUAUUAUUUUUUCUUUCUCUAUCUUUUAAUCUUUUAGUAUUUCUAGAGCAUGGCUUGUUCUCUUUUACUUCUUUGGGAUGGAAGGUUUUAAUGAGGCCGGCGCUAAUAAAACUCUAGAUUUAUCCCACAUAAUACUCUAACCGUCUAACGUGCCUAACAUGCCUAGCGUGCCUAACGUGACAUCUUUUUCCUAUAAAAAGGGAUGCCGGCCCUUCUCAAGUUCUCAUUUCCCACACUCAAAAGUCUCAAGCUGCAUCUCAUUUUACACACACAAUACAAACAUGGAUGGGAGAGGCUCCAGAAUCUGGGACUACUACGAUGCUGAAGUAGUUACGGACGGUAGAAAAUCUGAGCUAAAAGCACGGUGCAAAAGAUGUGGUAAGUUGAUGCGCAUUGCCUGCCACGGUCCAGUAAACAUCCUUACUAGGCACAGAGCAGUACACAUCAAGAGAGACGAGCUGGCCGCGGCUGCCGGGCAAGGAUGAACGAUCCAAAUUAGUUUAGUUCCAGUCUUGUAAUUUUUUUAGUUCAAUUCUAGUCUUGUAAUCUUUUUAUUUCUACUUCUUUUAAUCUUUUAGUACUUCUAGAGCAUAGCUUAUACUCUUUUACUUCUUUGGGAUGGAAGGUUUUAAUGAGGCAAGCGUUAAUAAAACUCUAGAUUUAUCCCACAUAAUACUCUACAUUUUUUUGCAAUUUUCUAUAUUUUUUUUGGGUAUUUUUUCGACAUUUUUUCGCAUCUCACUUAGACUAUUAUUUGGUAGUAUAGUGCAGCGUGCAGUGUGUAAUUGCAGCGAUACAGCAUUGCAGCGUGCCAGGCGAGAGGCGACCACCAGCGACCAGCGUGCCAGGCGCAUUGGUGGCCAUGCAAAUGUAUGAAAUCCACCACCAGCGACCAGCAGCGAUGCAGCCUUGCAGGUUGCAGCGUGCCAGGCUGCCAGCGCGCAGCCCGCAGGCCACUGCGAUGCGAGCGCCAGGCCANNNNNNNNNNNNNNNNNNNNNNNNNNNNNNNNNNNNNNNNNNNNNNNNNNNNNNNNNNNNNNNNNNNNNNNNNNNNNNNNNNNNNNNNNNNNNNNNNNNNNNNNNNNNNNNNNNNNNNNNNNNNNNNNNNNNNNNNNNNNNNNNNNNNNNNNNNNNNNNNNNNNNNNNNNNNNNNNNNNNNNNNNNNNNNNNNNNNNNNNNNNNNNNNNNNNNNNNNNNNNNNNNNNNNNNNNNNNNNNNNNNNNNNNNNNNNNNNNNNNNNNNNNNNNNNNNNNNNNNNNNNNNNNNNGGCCCGGCUAGCAUUCGUGCCGUCGCGGGCCGGGCCAUGCCAGGCACGUUUAGCACGGGCCGGCCCGUUUGGCCAGCUAUAAUGGCGAAUGACCCUGGACAGCUGCGGCUCCUCUGUGACCGUGAGGGCCGGCCUGCUCCUUCACCCUUCGGCCUCCUCCCUCUUCCCUAGCCCCAUCCCAUCGCGACGGGCCGCCCACCCUGCUCCUUCACCUCACCACCAGGCUCGGCUAAUCCGCGCCCGAUUUGGAGAAAGGACGGUGGCAACGACGUCGGAGUAACCAUCUCAGGACGAUGGCACCGGCGCCGCUUCUUCAUACCAGAGAGCAAAUUAGAGAGAGAGAGAGGGGAGGGGGGAUUAGGCAAAGCUCACCUUGUCGCCGGAAGAUGUCGCCCUCUUCCCAGGGACCACCACGGCGAGCCCCUACUGUCCAGCAGCCCCGGUCGCUGCCAUGCUCCUCGUCCAGCCGCUGCCAUCGACCGCAUGCUUUGCCGCCUGCGAUCUUACUCCCUGAUCUGGAAGGAACGGAGGGAGGAGGCGGAUGUGGAUUGGGGGCAGGGCCAGAGGUAGUGGUGAUAAGGGAGGUAGGAGGAAGGGGGAGAAGCGGUGGGGCGGCCGGCGGCUAUUCGAAUGAGGAUAAAGGAGGAAUAGGGGGUGCGGCGCGCCGGCGCCUGUGGUGCUGAGCGAGUGAGGAAGACGGGAUGUGGUGGCUAGGGUUCGACUGAGCUAGCUUUUGCGCAGCCGAUCACGCAACGCACACGCGGUGCACAACGAGAGGGCGAACUUGCACCUGAAAACAAC
rnacentral:lncRNA from 1 species